UACGGAAGGGGCAAGCGUUGUUCGGAAUCAUUGGGCGUAAAGGGCGCGUAGGUGGUUCUGUAUGUCUACCGUGAAAGCAUGCAGCUCAACUGUAUUUGGUCGGUAGAAACUGCAGGACUUGAGGCUGGGAGGGGCUGGUGGAAUUCCCUGUGUAGCGGUGAAAUGCGUAGAUAUCGAGAGGAACACCUGCGGCGAAGGCGGGUUGCUGGGCUGACACUGACGCUGAAGCGCGAAAGCUAGGGGAGCGAACGGG
rnacentral:rRNA from 1 species